ensembl:lncRNA novel transcript
ACAGGAAGUAGGACAGAGCAAUGGAGGGAAGCCAGAUUUAAUGUCAGAAGUCUGGACCAUCAAUUUUAUCCCUUCCCAUUGCCUCCUUUUAAAUUUUAGUCAAUUCAAUAAAUAUUUUCAACUCCUCGUCUGUACCAGGCACCAAGCCACAGAAUGGAGUUCUGGCAAUGAACACUGCAGACAUGGCCGCCUUUAGCCUCAUGGAGCUUAGGGUCUGGGAGCAUUGUCAGUUUCUGAAUCCUCCAAGUGCUAAACUAUCUUCUCUCUUCAAAUUAGAGAAAAGAAAUGAGACAGCAGGCCUGCUUCUUUGAGUGUUUUUUUCUUUUUUGUUUCCGUUUUCUGACAACCAUACUUCACGUCUGACAGAGGAAAUGAUUCUUUUUGUCAGUGAUAAAUUUAUGAGUUUUGACUGUUUGUGAAGUUCCCUAAUUAAUUCUUUAUAGACUUCUAUUGGCAACUGAAUUUGUGUUUUGAGUUAAAAAUGGGAGUUCAGAUGAAUUACAGUUGAACAUUCUGCUCCCUUUGAAGAGCUCAUACUCCACAUUCUACGCUGUUAAUCUCUCUGCUUACUGAGAGGCACCGUUUGUCUUGCAGUGACGCACGGUGGGUGGUUACCAUGGCAUAGGAAAACAUUGCCAGCGCUGGCCCUGUCGUCAUGGAACCCCUGGGCCAUCUCCUGAGAAACUUGGUUGGAAUAAAUGCAGAUGCUGCAAAUUGAUGGAGGCCUGGUGUCUUCCAGAGUGGAGGUAAAGGCUGGCUGAGGAAUCAGUGAGGCCAGGAAGAGGGCUCAGCUGAGCAACUGAUCAAAGCAUCCCUCUUCAGGAAGGAGCUUCCUGUGUUUUCUCUGGGAACUCACCUGUUUUCCACUCCAGACUCUCCAAGAUAUGCAGAGCUUUGGGCCAGGAUCCUACAGCCACGGGUCAUGCAGAGCCAGUUGGCCACAUCCUUUGGGCCAAAUUUGGUCCUAACCAGGUCUUACCACGGUAACUGCUAACCAGUCCAUCUUCAGUUAAUAUUUCAUGCGUAGGAAUUGUUGAACAUCUUACCAUUUAAUCCAGAAGUUAUGUCCUUUAAGGAAUCGACCCUGAGCCUAAAACAAUGGGCAAGUCAGCUCAUGAAGAACUUUUCAGAUAUUCAGACUAUUAUUCUGAGAGAGAAAAUAUUGGCAGAGAACAGAUGGGAUUUUUCUCAAGGAAAAGAAAUGGAAAUCCUACAUCUUGCAAGAAAUAGAAAAAAAUAAAUAAACUGUUUGAAGAAGAAUCACAUCAGGCUGGCAGGAGAGAGCCUGCGGCUCGGUGUCUGACCCAGAAUGUUAAAGCCAGCCUGGCUUGGCUCCAGGAUAAAGGACACUCUGUCAGCCUCUCCACAUUGAUUCAUCUCCCCAGCCCCAAGAUCAGGAGAGCAUUCUGUUCCUUGAAGCAUUUUAUGACUGUAAGUCAGAAGUGCUGCAGUUUUAAUAAAAAGCUGUAUUGUCCU